rnacentral:lncRNA from 1 species
GAAGUAUGUUCCCUGGACCAGCGGUAUCAACAUCACCUGGGAAGAUGUAGAAGCACAAAUUCUCCUGCCUACUCCAGACCUACAGAAUUAGAAACUCUGGGGCUGGAGCUCAGUAAUCGGUGAUUUACCAGUCCUCCAGGUGAUUCUGAAACAUGCUCUCGUGUGAGGACCACUGCUGUAAAGGCAAGUCUGUCCACUUGUAAAACCCUGUGAUUCUACCUUGCCUGAUAAUCUUCACCAACUCGAAACUGUAGUGAACUCCGUAUCCUCUCAUUAAGCAGACCUCUUGGCCUCAAAAGGAGAUUCCCUGUGCUCUGUGCCUGUUAUUAAGGUCAGAAGAACCUACUCCUGCACCCAAACUCACCAUCUGCUUACCCGGCAGUGUCCUUAAGAGGAGAUUCGGACACAGAUGUGCACCAAGGGAAGACCCUGUGAAGAUACAGGGAGAAGACGGCGUCUGCAAGCCAAUGAGAGAGGCCUCAAAAGAAAUCAACCCUGCCAACAUCCUGAUCUCAGACCUCCAGCCUCCAAAACUGCCAGGUGACUCAAAUGUGUGGACUUUUGCUGCUGAAGUAUUGUAAAGAUGGAUUAUUCUGACCUAGGAAGAUGUGAGACCAUGCCAGGGAGCUGAAGACAAGGUUUUCCUGAAGGGGAAAGGAAGGUUUCAUUGUGAAAGAUCUCUCUCUCUCUCACUCUGGAGAAGGAGGAGGAGGAAGAAAAUGGUGAGAUUCUUAAGACAAGGAGGCAAAGCUUUUCCUUUUUUCUUGGUUUCUGGAAAUAGUCAUAUUUAGAACACAGUUUUUCUACAUUAUAAUUCCCUCUAGUUACUCUUCUCCUUAGCCACUAAGUUUAAUAAAGGCUGUUAUACAGAAA